rnacentral:rRNA from 1 species
UGGGGAAUUUUGGACAAUGGGGGAAACCCUGAUCCAGCCAUCCCGCGUGUGCGAUGAAGGCCUUCGGGUUGUAAAGCACUUUUGGCAGGAAAGAAACGUCAUGGGUUAAUACCCCGUGAAACUGACGGUACCUGCAGAAUAAGCACCGGCUAACUACGUGCCAGCAGCCGCGGUAAUACGUAGGGUGCAAGCGUUAAUCGGAAUUACUGGGCGUAAAGCGUGCGCAGGCGGUUCGGAAAGAAAGAUGUGAAAUCCCAGAGCUCAACUUUGGAACUGCAUUUUUAACUACCGGGCUAGAGUGUGUCAGAGGGAGGUGGAAUUCCGCGUGUAGCAGUGAAAUGCGUAGAUAUGCGGAGGAACACCGAUGGCGAAGGCAGCCUCCUGAGAUAACACUGACGGUCAUGCACGAAAGCGUGGGGAGCAAACAGG